rnacentral:rRNA from 1 species
GCCUAGCCGUAAACUUUAAAUUACACCUACAUCGCCUGAGAACUACGAGCAAAGCUUAAAACUCAAAGGACUUGACGGUACCCCAUAUCCCCCUAGAGGAGCCUGUCCUAUAAUCGAUAACCCCCGUUUAACCUCACCAUUUUUAGCCAAUCAGCCUGUAUACCUCCGUCGUCAGCUUACCACGUGAGCGAAACUUAGUGAGCUUAAUGCCUUUACACCAAUACGUCAGGUCAAGGUGCAGCAAAUGAAAUGGAAAGAGAUGGGCUACACUUUCUAAUAUAGAAAACACGAAAGACUUUAUGAAAUCUAGUCGGAAGGCGGAUUUAGCAGUAAAAAGAAAUCAG